rnacentral:rRNA from 1 species
UAAGGAUAAAUUUAUUUAAAUAUAUUGUUUAAAAUAAUUUUAAUUUUAGUAUUUUUUAAAGAAUAAAUAAUUUUAAUUAUAGAUUAGAGUAUUGAAAAAGAAAAUUGAAAUAUUAUUGAAAAUAGAUUUAUUAAUAAGAAAAUUUAGUUUAUUGUACCUUUUGUAUCAGGGGUUAUUAAUUAAUUAAUUUAUAUAAAAUUAAUUUCGAAAUAAAAAGAUUUAAUUUAAUAUAAUUUUUAAUGUUAUAAAAUUAUUUUUAAUAUUAAAUUAGAAUUUAAAAGUUAAUCGAUUUUUAUUAUAUCUAAUUUUUUAAGAAAUAAAUUUAAUUUAGUUUAUAAUUUUUAUUUAUUUAUUUUUUUAGUUAAAUAAUAAAUUAUAGAUAAUAUAUUAAGGGAUAAGCUUUAAUAUAUAAGAUUAUAAAAUAAUAAAUUUUAAAAUUAAUAUAUUCUUAGAAAUAGAAAUUAUUUUUUAGUAUGUUAUAAUUUAAUAAAUUUUAUAUAAAAUUUAUUUUUUUUUAAUUAUUUUAUUAAAAUAUUUAAUUUAAUAAUAAUAUUAAAGUAAUAAUGAUAAUAUUAGUAUAUUUAUGUUAAUUUUUAAUAAUAUAUAAAUUAAAGGUUUUAAUUAAAUAGAUUUAAGGAACUCGGCAAAUUUAGUGUUCGCCUGUUUAUUAAAAACAUGUCUUUUAGAAUUUUAUUUAAGGUUUAAUCUGCCCACUGAAUAUUAAAGGGCCGCAGUAUAUUAACUGUGCAAAGGUAGCAUAAUAAUUAGUUUUUUAAUUGAAAGCUAGAAUGAAUGAUUGGACGAAAUAUUUACUGUCUUAAAUUUAUAAAUAUAGAAUUUUAUUUUUUAAUUAAAAAGUUGAAAUAAAUUUAAAAGACGAGAAGACCCUAUAGAUUUUUAUAUAUAAUUUUUUAAUAAAAUUUAGUUAAAUUAUAUUUUAAAUUUAUUAUAUAUUAUAUUGGGGUAAUAAUAAAAUUUUAUAAAUUUUUAUUUUUUAAUAACAAUUAUAGUUGAAUAAUUGAUCCAGUAUUAUUGAUUAAAAAAUUAAAUUACCUUAGGGAUAACAGCAUAAUGAUUUUUGAGAGUUCUUAUCAAUAAAAUAGUUUGUGACCUCGAUGUUGAAUUAAAAUAUAUUUUAGAUGUAGGUGUUUAAAAAAUAAAGUCUGUUCGACUUAUAAUAUUUUACAUGAUUUGAGUUUAGACCGGUGUGAGCCAGGUCAGUUUCUAUCUUUAAUAAAUUAUUAUAUUUUAGUACGAAAGGAUUAAAUAUAAAAUAAAUUUUAUUUAUAAAAUUGAAUAAUAUUAAUUAUUUAUAA